rnacentral:lncRNA from 1 species
GGGUCAGAGCAAACUGACCUGAAGUGUUAAUCAGAAUAUAUUCUAUAUCAGGUUUGGUAGUUCUUGAAAACUACUGAUCUGAUAUCUCUUGGAGUUUUUUCACCUGCUGUAAGAUCGUUCCUGUCCUUUAUCUUCAUUUUUUGUUUGUUCUUGCAUCAUUCUUGUCCGAGUCUAGGCAUCCCUGUUUACCGGACUAGUCGGGCCGGCCUUGAUCGAGUCUGUCUACUUGUUACUUGGUGUGUCUUGAUUUGGUUGCAUCUGUUUAUGUUAAGAAUGGCUCCUGAGUAA